UACGUAGGGUGCAAGCGUUGUCCGGAAUUAUUGGGCGUAAAGAGCUCGUAGGCGGUCUGUCGCGUCUGCUGUGAAAACUCGGGGCUUAACCCCGGGCCUGCAGUGGGUACGGGCAGACUAGAGUGCGGUAGGGGAGACUGGAAUUCCUGGUGUAGCGGUGAAAUGCGCAGAUAUCAGGAGGAACACCGAUGGCGAAGGCAGGUCUCUGGGCCACUACUGACGCUGAGAAGCGAAAGCAUGGGGAGCAAACAGG
rnacentral:rRNA from 1 species